AGCUCUUAAUUUCUCUUAAUUCACGCAUAAAUCUUUUGCCUUUUAUUAACGAUUUCCACAGAGAGGAACAUCAAAGAGCUUGAUGUAGUUUCCUGAGCUUUGCUCUGGCAAAGCU